rnacentral:rRNA from 1 species
UACAGAGGUCUCAAGCGUUUGUUCGGAUUCAUUGGGCGUAAAGGGUGCGUAGGUGGCGCCGUAAGUCAGGUGUGAAAUUUCGGAGCUUAACUCCGAAACUGCAUUUGAUACUGCGGUGCUUGAGGACUGGAGAGGAGACUGGAAUUUACGGUGUAGCAGUGAAAAUGCGUAGAGAUCGUAAGGAAGACCAGUGGCGAAGGCGGGUCUCUGGACAGUUCCUGACACUGAGGCACGAAGGCCCAGGGGGAGCAAAACGGG